GGAGAUAUCCCUCCGCAGAGCUGGGUCUGGCCGCGGGCGGGGAAGCAGGAAGUAAGGUGUCCAGCGCCGCGACCGGCUGGUCGUCCGCCUCGGCCCCCGCCCGCGUCCCCUUUCCCCCGGGGCGCAGCGCUACGGCGGGCGCGGGCCGCCCGGCGCAUUGUUCGCAGCCUUCGCGGCGGUGCGCUGCUGACUUUAUUUGUGCGCUUUGCGUGUGCGUGAGGUUGCACCUUUUGUAGGCUGGCGAGUCUCUGGACGAGGAUGGGACGGGGGACACGGGCCCAGUUGCGGCCCUGCGCGAGCGGGACCUGUCAGCCCUGAGGUGCAGCGGACCCUCCGGCAUGGCCGGAAAAUCGAGGCCGGGGAGAAGGCAGCGUGGCCGGGAAGCUGCCGCCUUAAACCCGGACCAGUGCAGGAUUGCUUCCUGCGUAGCCGUCCCGGUUAUUGUAACACGCUUUGCAAGCUAACGACUGGGCACCGGGGGCCGCCCGGGGCUGCUCGGCAUUGGUGCGGAAACCCGAGCCCGGAGUCGCUCCCUCGCGCUGUCUCCUCCUCCUCCUCUGCGGGGGAAACCGCUGCACCCAAACCGGGAGCAGCUGCGAGCAGGGGGCAGGGCGCGGGCUGAAAGGCGAGCCGAAGGUUCAAACCUCCGCGGCGCGGGCGGGGGCGGAGGGCAACAGCAGGACGGCCCCCAGGUCCCGAGAAGGCGUGGCAGUGGUCGGCCCAGGUGUCAGGGAACCUGGCCUGAGACCCCUGCAUUUCCAAGCUUCUUUCCUGGUCAGAGGAAACGUGAACCAAAGGUAGUUCAGCUAAACAGACCACCUCGAGCCGGGUUCGAGGCAUCUGUCUCGAGGGCAAGACAGUAUUUUUUGCACGACAGAAAGUUACACCAUCCAUUUUUUUCCGUGGGGGAAAUCAUUGCGCCCCUUCCCCCAAAAUGUCGCGCAAGAAGAAUGACCUCCCGCUACCCAGACCUUCGCCAGUGUCCCCCACCCCACCCCCACCCGGGCGCUGGGUGUGGAUUGGGCGGAGGGAGGCUAUAUGGGAGCUUAAAGCAUGAGGUCAUGAGCGGAGGAGACUGCUGCCAAAAGCACCCGAGGUUUUUGUGUUUUUUGAGGGGUAACGGUUCUCCAUCUUCAGCAGUGGAAAGUCCUCCCGCCUACCCUACCAAUUCUGGGGCACGUGGACCACAGAGUCCCUGAAAAGAGGAGGGGACCCGGGCUAUUUCGCUUAAUGAGCGUUUGGCGCGUGCCCAGCCCUUUAUGGAGCCCUUCCACAUAAGCAAAGAAAGCCGAGGGACAGCGCACAGUGUUGCGGCGACUGGGAAAGGCUUCAGAUGCUCGAUGUCCCCCGCCCUCUUUCCUCAGUCCUCGGUCAUCUUCCAAGUGGGCUGCUUUCUGCGAUAGCUUCCUGUCCCCCUCCGACCCAUUCCUCCCAAGCGACUAAAACUCCUAAUGACAUUAUUUUAAAGCCUUCAAAACCCUCUUCCAUUGCCCUUAGAAUAAAGCCAAGUUGUGAUUUCGCCUCUACAGACCUCUCUACCCGCCCAGCUCUUCCUCGGAUAUUCUCCUAAACCAGAAGCUGCAGAGAAGGAAGGAUUUGGGAUUUGCGGCUACACAGCCAAGGACGCUUUUGUCAUCUUCAAAGGACCCCCUACACCCUACACGCUUGGCCCGCUCUGUUCAUUGCCAACAGAGUGAUGGUUGAAUGCAUUCACAUGGUUCCAAAUUCAAAUAAACAGCAAGAAGUCUCCCUCCCACCCUGUCUGCCACCCACUUGGUUUUCCUUCUCUGGAGGCAACCUGGGUUAGUGGUCAGAAGAUGCAUUUAACUGUUUUCCAGCUGAGGCCUUGUGAGAACUCCUCGGACACCAAUUUAAAUCUUUAUGUCCAGAACUCCUUUCUCCAAUCCAGAGAUGAGGUUCCACCAUUCUUGCCCAGACUGGUUUCGAACUCCUGGACUCAAGCGAUUUGCCUGCCUCGGCCUCAAAAAGUGCUGGGAUUACAUGCAUGAGCCACCACACCCGGACCCUCUCUCUUAAAUAGUGGCCCUUUUGCCUCUCUGCAACACAGGAAAAAUUCUGUUAGCCUGCAUCAGAAGGAGUGGCAUGGAGGCUUUGGAGUUAAGAAGAUUUAAUUCAAAUUAUGUGUCCGGUGCCUGCCAGCAAUGAGACCUUGGUAAGGUUUCUUAACCUCUCUGAGCUGGGACCAUACCUUCUGCGUUGGUUUAAUAUAAAGGUUAAAUGCAUGUAAAUAAAUGACUUCUAAAAUAAAUAACAUUCUAAAAUGUUAGUAACAACUAAAUACAAUAUUUAGAUCUUGUGAGGAUUUGAUUUGAAUAAAUAAGAUUUUUUUAAAAGACAUUUUUGAGACAAAAUGUAGACUAUCUGAUAUUAAGAAAUUAAUCACUUUUUCAGAUAUGAUAAUGGCAUUGCAGUUUUUUUUAAGUUCUUAUCUAUUACAGAUACAUAAUGAGGCAUUUUGAGUGAAAAUAUAUCUAGGAUUUGCUUUCCAAUACUCCAUCCCCUCCCCAUCAAAACACUAAAUAAAUGAAACAAGAUUAGUGAAAUACGGAAAAUUGUUGAAGUUAUUCAUUAUUCCAUUUCCCAUAUGGAACUUUCCAUACUAGUUUCCCUACUGCUGUUGAAUAUUUGACAUGUUUCAAAUACAUUUGAAAUAAAUUUAUUGUCUGAGAUGAUCAGGUUGAAAAAUAAUAAAAUGAAAUAAAUUUAAAAGUAAAAUAAACAUAACCCUUUUAAGCAUUAAAAUUAAAAAUUAUGAGGCUUGUUGAAUUAUUACUGUUAUAAAUAAUUACAUACAUGUAUUUUUGAAACAGUCUUGCUCUUUCACCCAGGCUGCAGUGCAGUGGCAUAAUCACAGUUCACUGCGGCCUCAACCUCCCAGGCUCAGGUGAUCCUUGCACGUCUGCCUCCCAAGUAGCUGGGACUGCAGGUGUGCACCACCAUGCCUGGCUAAAUUUUUCUCUUUUGUAGAGACGGGUUUUGCGAUUUUGCCCACACUGGUCUUAAAGUCCUGGG
rnacentral:lncRNA from 1 species